GGAACAGUAACUCAAUGGUAGAGCGCCGGCCAAUAAGAGCCAAUGCGUCGCCGGUUCGAUUCCGGCCUGUUCCU
rnacentral:tRNA from 1 species